rnacentral:lncRNA from 1 species
CUGGCAAUGAUGAAGCCUAAUGCUGUCCUGGGCAGAGCAUAGCCAGUAGAUCAAGGGGGAUGAUUAUCCCCCUUCACUUGGCACUCUUGAGACCAGAUCUAGAAUACUGCAUCCAGUUUUGAAGUGCCCCAGGACAAAAAAGACAUUGAUGAACAGGAGUGAUUUCAGCAGAGGGUCCCCAAGAUGGUUGGGAGCUCGAGCGUGUGCCCUGUGAGGAAAGCCUAAGAGACUUGAGUUUGCUCAGCCUGGAGAACAGAAGGUUUCAGGGURCUAAUAGCAGCCUUACCAUACCUGCCAGCAAGCUAUCAAGAAGAUGGAGCCAGGCUCUUCACAGUAGUACUUGGGUGGGAGUUCAAGAUACAACAGAUAUAGGUUGAAAAAGAAAGGUUCUUGCUGGAUAGGAGGAAAACUUUAUUGUUUUGGGGACAAURAAGCAUCGGAACAAGUUGUCUGGAGAGGCUGUGCAGUCUGCCUGCUUGGAGUUUUUCAAGACCUGACUGGAUAAUGCCUUGAACCACCUAGUGUGAUCUCACACCUGACCUUGCUUUGAGCUAGGGACCUCCUAAGGUCCUUUCCAGACUGGAUUAUUGUAUGAUUCUGUGAACUUCUACAAGAAGAAGAGUAAACUAGAGAUAAUGAGGAGGAAGUUGUAGGAAAAACAGAUCUCUGAGAAGCAGGGAGAAUAACAGCCUGGAGAAUGCAGCCGAGCUAUGCCACUGGACUACGGAAGCAAGGCCAUUGACAAUCAAGAAAGCAGCAGCAGGAGAUCAGCAUAUUCCCAUGUUGCUGAAAGGAUGUUUGGAUCAGUGAAGUGCAUCUGUCAUGCUAUCUGCUGUCACCUCAUGAUCCUCCUUCAUCUCCCACUAGUUUAA